CCUUUCUCGGCAUUCCGGAUUUGCGCCUUUUCCUGCUCUGCUUCUCCCUGUUCCACGACCGGGAAAUUCGCGGAAGUUAUCCUCGCGUUUAAUCCUUCAAUAUAACUUCCGACCCUCAGUGGUGACAUUUCCAGAACGUCCUCGCUUGGAUUUUCUCAUCACUGCUCGGAGCUAGGAAUCAAGCUUGAUAGAGUAUGUGACAAACGGCUACAUGGAUAAUCUAACCAUCAACACCAGGAGCAGAACUGCUGCUGCUACCCCAUUUUUGAGUCACAGAAACUGGAGAAUGGGUCGAUCGCAUAUUCUUCAGUAGCUGUGAAUCGUCAUAAUCCGGAGGAGAUGGAGCAAGGACACCUUCACCCUUAUCCGCAUCAACAAAUAUGUCCGCAGCAUUAUCAUCGCACGCGAUCGCCUUCAGUUCCUCCAAAACCUCAUCCAUGGGAGGCCUCAUUUCCUUGUCCAGUUGCAAGCACAGGAAAGCUAACUCGGCCACCGAAGUUGUCAUCCUAUUGAUUUCGCUAUCUGACUCAAAUCCUAGAUUUGGGUCGAUCAAUUCGCCAAACGCGCAUUUCUGAAUCUUGUUAAUAGCAAAGUUGGCCAAAUUAAUCUCGUGCCUUUCUCUUCUUUUGUCCACAGCUGGCUUGGAUGAUACAAGCUCGACCAGAACAACUCCGAAGCUAUAGACGUCACUCUUCUCCGUGAGGUGGUAGCACUGAUGGUACUCGGGGUCCACAUAACCUGGAGUCCCUUGAGGAGCUGUCGAGAUAUGAGAGACAUCAUCGGGGAAAAGCCUCGAAAGCCCAAAAUCUGCAACUUUAACCCCAAAAUUCUUGUCGAGGAGGAGGUUAUUUGUUUUCACAUCACGGUGGACAAUGUCAGAAGCAUGGAGGUAAGCCAACGCAGUAGCAGUCUCUAUGGCUAUGUCCAUACGGAUUUUCCAAGGCAAUGUACUAGAAGAGUUUGCUCGCUGGCCAUGGAUAUGAUCAGCAACAGUUCCAUUGGAGAUGUACUCAUAGACAAGUAGAAGCUCACGGCUGUGGCGAGAAGUGCAACCGUACAGAGACACAAGGUUUUUGUGUUGCAAACGGGUUAGGAUCUCUACCUCAUUCAUGAACUGCUUUACCCUCCGGUAGCUGCGCUCGUAUAGGCGCUUCACUGCUACUUCCCGUCCAUCUCGAAGUUUUCCUGUUAAGAAUAUUGUAGAAAAUGUCUUUCAGUUGAGGAUCCCUUGGAGGAAUAAUGAAGGAACAUUUUCUCACCGUAGUAAA